rnacentral:sRNA from 2 species
CGAAUAUUGAGGUUUUUGCCCAUGGGCAACGGACAUCAUUGGCGCAGAAGGGAGCGCUUGCGGGGCGAUCUGGAGGUUCAACUCCGCACCUGUCAACGGCCAGAGGGUCACAGUGAAUCUGUGAUUUCCACACGCAAGGGACGCUUGGUUGCGAUUAAGAGAUAGGAUCUUUAUGAAAACGAUCACUGUUUGUGAGAAGAUGCCUUUCCUUGGACGCUGAUCCUGAAUGGAGGACGCUUUUCCGGUCAUUGCUGCCCAAAUCAGGGCUCAGCUUCCUUCCCUGUAAUCCCAAUGGUCCAGUUCUCCUCCCUGUUUGGUGUGUUUCCUUGUAUACCAAACGUGCUUCCUGGUUUUUGGAAUUCUCCCAGGAACAGGUGAAAGCUGCAAUUUGCAGCCAUUGAUUUAGGGUUUUCAUGGGCUAUGCGAAACCGUCACACGUUCACUCCCUGAUACUGGACGCGCCUGAGCUUCAAGGAAUAUUCGCGUACCCUGCGUUGAUUUGGCGGUGUGAUUUUGUUCCGUUCACCUUUAGGCCUCUUGUUUUCUUAUCCCUCCGCCAGU